rnacentral:rRNA from 1 species
GAUGAACGCUGGCGGCGUGCCUAAUACAUGCAAGUCGAGCGAACGGACUAGAAGCUUGCUUCUCUGAUGUUAGCGGCGGACGGGUGAGUAACACGUGGAUAACCUACCUAUAAGACUGGGAUAACUUCGGGAAACCGUAGCUAAUACCGGAUAAUAUUUUGAACCGCAUGGUUCAAAAGUGAAAGACGGUCUUGCUGUCACUUAUAGAUGGAUCCGCGCUGCAUUAGCUAGUUGGUAAGGUAACGGCUUACCAAGGCAACGAUGCAUAGCCGACCUGAGAGGGUGAUCGGCCACACUGGAACUGAGACACGGUCCAGACUCCUACGGGAGGCAGCAGUAGGGAAUCUUCCGCAAUGGGCGAAAGCCUGACGGAGCAACGCCGCGUGAGUGAUGAAGGUCUUCGGAUCGUAAAACUCUGUUAUUAGGGAAGAACAUAUGUGUAAGUAACUGUGCACAUCUUGACGGUACCUAAUCAGAAAGCCACGGCUAACUACGUGC